UGCCAUACCAAUUGGUAAGUCGCUCUGGAUAAGGGCGUCUGCUAAAUGACGUAAA
rfam:Salmo salar isolate Sally breed double haploid chromosome ssa09, whole genome shotgun sequence.